rnacentral:rRNA from 1 species
AUUAAUUUGAGAGUUUGAUCCUGGCUCAGGACGAACGCUGGCGGCGUGCCUAAUACAUGCAAGUCGAACGAACUCUGGUAUUGAUUGGUGCUUGCAUCAUGAUUUACAUUUGAGUGAGUGGCGAACUGGUGAGUAACACGUGGGAAACCUGCCCAGAAGCGGGGGAUAACACCUGGAAACAGAUGCUAAUACCGCAUAACAACUUGGACCGCAUGGUCCGAGUUUGAAAGAUGGCUUCGGCUAUCACUUUUGGAUGGUCCCGCGGCGUAUUAGCUAGAUGG